rnacentral:sRNA from 1 species
CUGUGUGGUCCGGAGUCGGAGGGUUAUCUGAACAAAAUUUCCCUUCGACACCAACUCGACCAGCGA